UGAGUGGCGGACGGGUGAGUAACGCGUGGGCAACCUGGCCUGUACAGGGGGAUAACACUUAGAAAUAGGUGCUAAUACCGCAUAACGGGGGAAGCCGCAUGGCUUUUCCCUGAAAACUCCGGUGGUACAGGAUGGGCCCGCGUCUGAUUAGCCAGUUGGCAGGGUAACGGGCCUACCAAAGCGACGAUCAGUAGCCGGCCUGAGAGGGCGGACGGCCACACUGGGACUGAGACACGGCCCAGACUCCUACGGAAGGCAGCAG
rnacentral:rRNA from 1 species